rnacentral:rRNA from 1 species
AUUGAACGCUGGCGGCAGGCCUAACACAUGCAAGUCGAACGGCAGCAGCGAGAUUGCUCGCGCAUUCGGGGGCGGAGGGGUGGAUGAUGCCUGGAAAUCUGGCAGUUAGCGUGGGAUAGGGUGCUAACACGGGCGAAAAUUCCCCAUCCGUCCAGAGGGCGUAAGUGGGGGAUCUUGGGAUCUCCCGCCCUCACACGAGCCUAGGUCGGAUUAGCGAGUUGGUGGGGUAACGGCCUACCAAGGCGCCGAUCCGUAACUGGUCUGAGAGGAUGAUCAGACACAUGGGAACUGAGACACGGUCCAGACUCCGACGGGAGGCAGCAGUGGGGAAUAUUGGACAAUGGGCGAAAGCCUGAUCCAGCCAUACCGCGUGUGUGAAGAAGGUCUUCGGAUUGUAAAGCACUUUAGGUCGGAAGGAAGUGCAGCAAGUUAAUACCGGGCUGUUAUGACGGUACCAAAAGAAUAAGCACCGGCUAACUUCGUG